UUCGGAAUUAUUGGGCGUAAAGCGCGUGUAGGCGGCUUUGCAAGUCGGGUGUGAAAGCCCUCGGCUCAACCGAGGAAGUGCGCCCGAAACUGCAGAGCUAGAGUACCAGAGAGGGUGGCGGAAUUCCCCAAGUAGAGGUGAAAUUCGUAGAUAUGGGGAGGAACACCAGUGGCGAAGGCGACUCACUGGACAUGUAUUGACGCUGAGGUGCGAAAGCGUGGGGAGCAAACAGG
rnacentral:rRNA from 1 species